UAUUUGCGCGAUAUAAAGCCAGGUUUAAAUUUCCGUGAGAAUAUCUCAGUUUCCCGAGUGGAGCUGUAUUAACCGGUCUUUUCCUCCGAGGCAGACCAGCGGGGAGAUGAGAGUCACAGAGUGCGCUGGCAGACCGGCGGGGAGACUCGUGAAGACGAAAUAAAGCAGUCAACUUUAAAACACAUGUAAUCACC